GUGAUAACUCUUUCUGUUUUUAGGAACAAAGAGUGCCCUACAUGUCGAAAAAAAUUGGUCUCCAAAAGAUCACUGCGCCCUGACCCAAAUUUUGAUGCCCUCAUAAGCAAGAUCUACCCAAGCCGCGAUGAAUACGAAGCACACCAGGAGAGAGUACUUGCCAGAAUUAGCAAACACAACAACCAGCAAGCCCUGAGUCACAGUAUAGAGGAGGGACUGAAGAUACAGGCCAUGAACAGGUAGAGUUAAGGUUAUUGAUAUGUGAUGAGAUGGAAUGACAGGAGUCAAUGUACAGAGCAAAACUAUCAAAGUGAAUCUGCCAUGCCUCCAAUUCCAACUCCCUUCCCCAAGAAAGACUCAAUUUGCCUUGCUUAGGAACACGACCCCAAGCAGGGUAAUUCUUCCCCAUGAUGCCCACACACUAGCUUUAAUGCCAGCAAUUCGGGGUGGGAAUGUUUUAACAGGUGUUACUUUGUUCCUCCUCCUGCUUCCCCCUUCUUUCUCAAUUAUCUAUUAAGUGACAGGUGGGGAAGGAACCAUAUUUUUUCAAGUAUUCGUAGGUUUGCUAGAAUUUCUCAUAGCCUAAGAUAGGAGUACAUUUUUAUUUUUCUUAAUUUUAUAUAAAGGAGAAAGACUUACCAAGGCAAAAACAAGUGCUAUCCGUGGGUAAAGUGCUCUCUCAACAUUUAGCACACUGCACACAAAAUGGCACAUAUUCUGUCUUGAAAAUCUGCCCCAAAGUUUGCUAUUAAAUGACACGUACUUUUAAAUCUACAUUCAUGAGCAACUCAAGAAAAAAAACUUUCUUGUAUGUAAUCUUAUGUGCAGAUAAAAAAAAAAACGGGCAGCCCGGUAAUAUAUUAAUAGCUAUGAUAAGGGGAAGCAGUUACCCACAAACUGGAGACAUAGGCACACUAAUAUAUUUAAAAAUAUAAAUAAAUAAAAAAAUUGGAUACACCUAAAGGGUUAAUCCAGCUGCUAUGUUACUUUAUUUUUCUUCUGAUAUGUUUAAUAUACUUAUAUAUUUAGGUUCCCACACAUUUUUUGCCAAAUAACCAGUGAACAUAACUUAAAUGUAUCUGGAAUCCAGUGCUGGGUGCUGGAAUUCCUGACCACUUCCACAUCUUCCUACAUGUCAACUCUGCAUCUUCUUCUUCCUGGUCACAGUUUAAUCAAUGCUUCAAAUAGAAAAGCAUUGAUGUACCAGGCGCAUGCUCGUCAAUUCGAUGGGAAGGAGGAAUGACUGGUUUGAAAGUGUAGAAGGUGUACCCACCUUCUACAAGGACCAGGGCACAUUGUAACAUCCUAAUGGUUAGCGAGGGUUAGCGAGGGUUCUAACACUAGGGAGGGAGGUGAAUUUAGGCAAAAAGUUAAAUAUACUUGUCAGCGUGCAGAGAGCAUCAAUUAUAUUUUUACACAAACAUGACUUUUAGUGUGUGCUGCACAAAAUAUUCCUACCAACUUGACAACUUCUAAAAGUGGAAGUGGUCAUAGAGGUUACAGAAACUCUUUAAUAUAUAAAUGAAAAUAUAAUAAAUAAAAAUUGUAUCACCCAGGAAGAGAACAUGUGGAAAAAAAAAAGAACAAUCCAAAAACAAUAAGUGACAGUGACAACAACAAAGAUAAAAAAGGAGCAGCAUUUAUACAGACCAAUAGGUCAUUACCACCAGGAGGUGGGCAGAAGGUGAGACAUAUAUCUCACAAAACAUUAUAUAUAGAUAUGGCAUGUUAUGCUGCAGCUAUCAGUAAUAAUUAAAAUAAAGACAAGUCUCACAUAUCUACUAUUCAUCAUUCUGUUCACCAGUACAGAUUUCCAUGAUUUAUUUUUAUUUAAAAAAACAUUUAUUUUUUUUUGGUUUCUAAAAAUUAGAUUUUUAUUUUUUUUUAACACCAUUUUGUAGGUUUCUUAGUGGCCAAUUUCUCUAAUUUAUUAAAAUAUUUAAAUAGAAGGGUUUAUCUCCUGAUAAUUGAAUAAAUGCUCUAGCCUUAUGCAGAUUUGAUGCCCCUUCUCUUGUAGGCACCAAGUCCUUAGGUGCGAGACCUAAAACUUUCAAAUCCUGUUAAUUCCUGAUCUUCCAGUUAUUUUUAGGGGACACUUUGAAGGAUUCAAAUCCCGUCUUUUAAAAAGUAAGCAAAAGUAUAUUAUAGGAGCAGUAAAGGGCAACAUCUUGCCUUCCACUAGAAUAGGGUUCUUUAAUUUGUCAUAUACUGACUGCACCUCAAGUGGAAUUAUUAAAUAAGGGUAUUUCAUUCUUAACCCUUAUUUCUCCAAGCAUCCUUAUAUUUUUUUCAGGAUUUAAAUAGAUUAAAUUGUAAACUUAUCUUGAGGAGGUUUUUUAUUUUUUUUAAUAAAUGGGCUCAUUUUCUUUCAAUCUCUAUCUUAGAUGAUUUUCAUUUAACAUGUUAUGCUUCAUGUUUGCGGAGCACUGGGUCUUUGUUACAAGUAUCACUUUAAGUCCAAUUACUUCUGGCUAGCAAAAUGUUGUCUCUUUAUUCUAAGAUCAUUCAUGGAUUUGGGUUUAAAUCCUUACAAUAUAUAUUUGCUGACCCUUUAGUAUCACGUGGUCAGGCUUUGACGUUGAUACUGUCUGUUUUUUUUUGUUGUUUUUUUUUUAAAUCUUUUUAUUAUUGUCUUUCAUUUUUUUUCUUCCAUUGACAUUAAACUUCACAAAAAACAUACAGAGCACAAACAAUAUAAAAACAGUACAAAAAAAAUACAGAAAAUACAAAACAAACCCACCACCCUACGAGAGUUCUCAAAAAAAUUCCAUCUAUUACUCCGAAUUAGAUAAAAUAGUGAUUUAAAUCUCCCUUAGUUUUUUCUCCCAACUGGCCCAUAGACUAGAAUUGUCAUUUAGACAUUUACAGUGAUCUCUCUCCAUCUUAAGUUGGUAGGCAAGUUGAGAAGUUAUUUGUUUGAUGGAAUAAACAUCUUACAAGACAUUAAACAAUGUGUGAUCAGAAAAAGUUCAGGUUUCUUAAAUUUUGGCCAGUUACAAUGCAAUAACAUUACUUCAGGUUUUAAAAAUAUUUUUACAUUACACAAUUUGUAUAUAAUCGCUUGAGCCCACUGCCAAACUACGACCAUUUUUUUACAGGACCACCACAUAUGAAGGUAAUUUCCUUUUAUGUUGUCUACAAUUCCAGCAUUGAGCAUCAAGAUCCUUUGCAAAUGUAGCUGUUUUCACUGGAGUCAUAUACCAAAAAUUUGUUAAUUUAAAUUGUGUUUCUAAUAAGACAAAGGCAUGAACAUAUUUAUUGAUUUUAUAAAAGGAAGAUGACCAUUCCUUUAUAUCUAUAUUUUUACUUAAGUCACUGUUCCAAUUUUUAAUAGCAGUGGGGAUUGUCAGAUCAUAAGCACCCUCUAAAAUUCUAACACAUCUAGAGAACAGCUGUUUUAUUUUACUCUGCUCUAAGAUAGUCUUUAAAAUAUCGUAUAGGGUUCCUUCAGUAACUAAGGCGACCUUCUCUAAAAAAUGCUUAACUCUAAUAUAAGAAAAUAAUUCAUUGUCAGGAAGAUGGAACUCAUUUACCAACAUUUUGAAUGAUUUUAUUUUGCUAUCUAAACAAAUCUCUAAGUGUAUUAAUCUGAUAGUUUUUCCAAGAUUUCACUGUUAAAUUUUCGAUACUGAUUUCUAGUACUUUCAAACUUUGAAAAUUAUAUCAUCCAUAUCUAUUUUUUUCUUGAUUUUUUUUGCCAAAUAGGAAUAAUCUGUCCAAGAAUAUAAAGUCCCGUUAGCUGAAAUUUUUUUAGAUUACAAAUAAACUCUGAGGGGUCUUUUACUUUUGUUGCUUCUAACUCUAAUUCCAACCAAAAUUCUUCUUUAUUUUGUUCUAACAAACUAACCAUGAUAUGCAUAUUAUUAUCUUGUUUUGGCAAAUUUAUAUACUGUCUGUUUUUGUUUUAUCCUUUCCCAUUACUGUUUUUAUUUUAAUGGUGACUAUUAUUUACAGGCAAGGGGUAUAGUGUUAUAGUCCAGCUUGGCUCCUUCUUAUGCAAAUUUCUUCAUGGGUUAUAAGGAAGACCAAUUUAUCUGGGCCAAUAACCCUUGGAACAGCAAGCUAUCUUUCUAUCUCAAUUACAUUGAUUAUAUAAUAAAUGUGCAGAAGGAGAUCUUACUAAUAUAAUCCACUUUUAUUGUUUAUUAAUUACCCUUUUUGGGCUAUCUUUUACUUCUUGCAUUGCCUUUCUUCUAUUGAUUUCUUAGACUUGACACUGAGAGGAGUUGAUAAUAAAGUUAUGACCAACAUACACUAUAAGGAGGUUAUUGUGACCGUUGCUUACAUGCCUCCUGUGGUCACUAUCCCCAAUGGAUUUGAAAUGUCCCUUUUUUGACAAUUCACUAGAUUGGAGACAUUGCUCUUCUUUGUGUGAUUUAAAAAAAGAUUCUUUAUUAUUGAUUAAAACAUUUUUGGAGAGAGCCUAUUCUUCAGUUGAAGGAGUGCCUUUGAACGGUGAUCCCGUCAAAUGUAUGGAUAAUAUGUUUUCAAGUUAUCAUUAUAAUUUACUCAGAAUUGCAGCAGAAUCCACUUAUUCAAAAUCCCCUAUGUCAUGGUGAAAAGAAUUGGCGUAUAAUAAACAUAAUUAUAGUGGUUUGUUGACUUUCUGAAACCGUUCGUCUGUUUGCAGGCGCGUUCGUUAGAAAUUUCCAGUUGGUUUUAUACAAAGUUUGCUAUACGUGUCAAUUUUGUUAAUCUGGUCUCACUUCUCAUUGCCUCCCAGGUUGUUCUUGAGAACAGGACAUUUGCGUAUGGGGACAUAACCGUAGUUCUAAGGGCAGGAGACCCCAGGUUGAAUUCAGUUCUCUAUUCCUUAGGGAAACAUUAACAUCUUGCAUUACUAUAGGUACCUUGGUCAUACAGGACGGUGGCUUUACAAAACACUACAAUUCUGUCAUUUGCCUCUGUCAUAAUUUCAUUGCAUAACAGGUAGGUUUCCUGUUAUUGUUCAGGCCCAUGAUCUGGCCCACUCACAUAAAUAUAUACGCACAUAUACUCAUCGCAUCUUAUACAUGGGUGGCAGCACGUAUCUACUACCACCCUCUCGUUCCUAUAUUUCUACAUAGAAUCUCGUCCUGACUCAAAUCUUAUCCGGGACGAUUUCACAACCCUGUACCUUUUUAUUUUAGAGUGGUACUGGCUUGUGAGAUUUAGGUUAUCCAACUAGGUUUCUGUUUUCCGGUCUUAAUCCAAAAGCUAGUGGUCCCGCGAGGCCUACACCCAUCCUCAUACUCGGAGGUAUACGUCCCUCGGCCCAAAUCAUAGGUAGCCGCCUCGCAUUGUCGCAUAGAGAGGGCCUCCCACGUCACUCCCAUUCUAUCUUAUGCUUUAGUUACCACCAAGAGGCCAACACCCCGCCACAACGUUUCGGUGGCCUCAAGCUCCCCUCGGGCCAACACAUAGUUAGCACCUCAAACGCCGCUUGGCAAUUAUUAGGGACUCAUCUGUCACGUUAAGUUAGCAAAAAUCCAUGUGCCCGAGUAAAGUUUUCCUAAAACUCACCACACCUGCAUCACGUCACGUGUUGGCCACACUUUUACAACACCAUUCCUCACAGCAUUUGGUUAAAUCUAUCAUCAAAGGGCUGUCCGAGGGGUUCCACACGGAUUUGGUACAAUUUUCCAAAUUGGACACUGGAUGGCAAUAAUUUGCAAACCACUUCACAGACACAAAGUUAGUGUGUACACUUAUUAGGACUGAAGUAAAGGAAGGGUUUUGUUGGGAUUUUUAGUUCCCCACCUUUCACAUCUUGGGAAACCAAACCAUAGGGGUUGUCACGGGGAACACUUCACUUAAACCCAGACUAAUCAUAGACUUAUCAGCAACGCAUUCCUCCACCAUUCCCUACCUUAAUUCCCUCAUACCCUCCGACUGGACUCUAUCCACAUGCAAGCUAGCCUUCCCCAGGAUAAAAUUGAGCGCACCUUAUCAAGCAUUGAACAUUACUUACAACUGGGUUCUGGCAACCGUAAAGAACUUCAAUCGCUACUGGGGUCGCUCAAUUUUGCCAUGGCAAUCAUCCCAUAGGGUAGAUCCUUCAUUUCUCGUUACUAUCUUUAUUCCCACGAUUCCCCUCAGACACAUCUCGUAUCACUUUAGACAAUCACGCAACCUCUGCUUUACUCAUGUGGCGGGUUUUCCUUACAUCCUGGAAUGAGUGAGCUAUGAUUAUUCCCCUCCUCUCUGACAUUUCUCCACUCUUUGGUCAAAUGCCGCGGCAAACUCUGGUCUUGCUGCCAUCUGGGAGAGCAAUGGCUUUGGGGGUUAUGGUAUACAGAUAUUAAAUCCCUGCCCAGCUUCUCCACUACAUCGGCCUUGUUUGAGUUAUAUCCGAUCGUGGUAGCUGCCAUUACCUGGGGACCAACAUGGUCUGGUCACUCGGUCGGAUGUUAUUCAGAUAACCUAGCCACUUGCCUCAUUAUGCACAAUGGCCGGUAUUCAUCUUUGGUCAUAAUGAGACUAUUGGGGAAACUCACAAGGGUAAGUGCCUCUUGCCAAUUUUACCACAUGUAUUCACAUUCCAGGUUUCACAAACCUCUCAGCUGACCAAUUGUCUCGGUUUUCAUUUUAGGCUUUCUUCCAGACACUACCCACCACCUCCAGACUGGCUACCCCUGCCCCACCAUUUCAAGACAUAAUCUUGAAUUACAUGUUUUGUUAAUCCAGGCACGUCACGUUUCGCACCUUGCACUUUCUGUCAACACUAGAAAUCAUACGAUAGGAUUUCACAUUUUCACUAAGUUUAUAGCAGAGUUUCAAGUUCUUGACAUAUUUGCUUUGGAAUCUAUUCGGGGGUUCACUUCUUUUGUCACCUUAACCUUAAAUUAUCAUUUAACACAAUUAAACUGUACCUUAUGGGAAUCCAACACCACAUGCUUCUACGACACCCCAACAGUACAGAAUUCCUUUCAUCAUAUCAGAUAAAGACAUUACUGAAAGGAAUUAAAAAGAUAUAUACAUAUACCAUCUAAAGGCUUCCCAUCCACAUCAACAUUUUUCAUUCACUAUCCAAUACCUUAACCUAAAAUUACUCUGUUUCCUACUCAAAACAAUGGUGUCCUGGACAAUAUUUCAUCACUUUACCGUAACAACCACACCAACCAUUAUUAGAACUUCAUGACUCCAUCCUUGCAACAUCUCUAUUCAUGCUUUAAGUUCGCUUACUGUUAACUAGGCUCGGCCUAAAUGCAAACCUUUUUUCAAGACACUCCUUCCGUAUAGGGCAGCGUCUGCAGCUUCCUCCAACCACAUUACAGCUCAUAUCAUCAAGGCUAUGGGACCGUGGAAGUCCUCCGCAUAUACUCUUUACAUUUCAAACCCAGUUAAAGAGUUAAGACAAGCUUUUCGUGACUUGUCCAAAUAAACAAUGUUUUGUUAUAUGAAUAAAUUUUGUAUGGUACUUUUCUUUUUGCCCACUUUUAUUACAGGCCUACUGCUUUGUCGGUUCCGGCACACCACAACCGACUGAUGUCAGUUGGUAUAUUUUUAUUGGUUAUAAUAUGUUAUGUUACAUUUUCCAUCACGGCCAGAUUGCCCCGACUGCAAAUGUAAGGCUUGGCCUGUAGUUGUGGGGGGGGGCUUGAAACCCCUUACAAGGGCUGCCAAUGCACUCCCACCUUAUCAUGGAUUGUCUGGCGAGUCACCCCUCCAACCACUCCCUUUAUUCAUAUCACCAUCUUAGGUGGGCCCACUUUUACCAAAGGCCUACUGCUUUGUUCCGGCACACCACAACCGACUGAUGUCAAUUGGUAUAUGUUUAUUGGUUAUAAUAUGUUAUGUUACCUUUUCCAUCACGGCCAGAUUGCCCCGACUACAAAUAAAUAUAUAUAUAUAUAUAUAUAUAUAUAUAUAUUUAUAACCAUAUAAAUAGUCUUAUAAAAACAGGGUUAAUAACUAAUAUAGAAAUUAUGCAUAUAUCCACAGGAAUAUAAUUAAUUUGCUUUUAUAAUUGUUACAGCAAUUUUAGUUGGCUGCAGCUUAGUUGUCAUGGUCUCUUAUUGUUUUUUGAUUGUUGUAGUUUUUAAUUACUUAUACAAUGUACUAAAGGAUUACUCCAACCUCAAAGACCACCUCUGCUUUUCAAAGCAGUCAUAGUGGUAGGAAUCUGUAUAUGCAGCUUGUUCCAUGCAGCCUAAAGUCAAUUAUGUACACAAUUUAAAUUCGUCGUCAGCACACUCGGACAUUUAUACAUUUUAAUAUUAUUUAAAUGAUAUAUUAAGCAUACCUACUUUUUAUUUUAUUUAUGUCAUGCUAUAUGAACAAGGAUUGAAAAAUAUUGCUUAUCAGUCUAGUUUUGCUUUAAAAAAAAAAAAAAAAAAAAUGUUUUUAAUGAAAAUGUUAAAGAGAGCAAAAUGACAAAGACCAAUAUGGCUAAUAUAACUAAAGAGCAGUCUUCUCUGUGUCCAGGAUAGGGUUCAGCUCAGGUAUGAAGUAAGUAUUCAAUAAAAAAGACCAAAAAAAACAGACCAGAAAAAUACAAAUUAGAAAUGAGAGGAAUCUAUAUUUGAUAAGUAAGGGAAGAGAUGGAAGCACAAGAGUUGGGGGAAAAAAGGUAAAAUCAACAAUAAUUUGGGGGGAGGGGGAAAGUGGAGGUGCUGCUUAUGCAUUAGGAUGGAACACUUCCACACCCUCUGCAACACUUAAGCGGUAUGUAAUAUUGCCUUAAUCUUUUCUGUGGGUAUUCUAUGCCAAGUUUUGUUCCCAUUUUACCGUACUGGACAUCUAUCUUCCAGUAUUGAGCUCCGCCAAUCUGGUCAUGGUUAACAUCCAGAGGACCAGGGAUUCAGGGGAGAGAAAGGUUUGAAUAGAGGAUAGAAUAGAACAAACAUUCUACAUAAAUAUGUAUUUCAACCUAUGCCUAGUGCUGCAGAAAUAGGAGGACAAAAAUGGGAGUGAGACCAUCUGCAGAUAGUUAUGUUGUUAUUUUUUUUUUUUAUCGUGGUGAUAAUAAUUGUUACAAGAAAUUUCAGUUUAGUCAUCCUCCACAAAUGUAACUCUUUGGUUGUUAGUCAUUGAGUUGGGAGUCUGUGUUUUGUGAAGGAUUCCUAAAUUCCAGUAUAAUCUGACUGUGGCAUUCAGAGAUUGAGCAGAUCUGAUCACAUAUGUGGGUUUUUAUUACAGACUACAGAGAGGAAAGAAGCAGCAGGUGGAGAAUGGGAGUGGAGCAGAAGAUAACGCAGACAGUUCCCACUGCAGUAACGCCUCUGUACACAGCAACCAGGAAGCUGGUCCCAGCAAUAAGAGAACCAAAACAUCUGAUGACUCUGGACUAGAGCUAGACACCAAUAAUGAGACUGUCUCAAUUGACCCUGCCAUGGAUGGAGCUAGCGAAAUCGAGUUAGUCUUCAGACCUCACCCCACACUGAUGGAGAAAGAUGAUAGUGCCCAGACUCGGUAAGCAAUGGGUCUUCAAGCAGGAGAGUCAUAAUAUGACUUUACAAUAGUAUUAAUUCAGGGUGCGGAUCCAGAUCUGGGGCUGGCAGACCCUCAUAUAUCAAGAGCAAACCAAGAAUUAAUGCAGGCACUCAAAGGUAGUGAAUGGACGGUUUAAUGAAGGACAGUGGACGCUGUUCUUCAUUAAUCUGCCAUUCACUACCAUUGAGUGCCUGGAUCAUUUUUUGGUUUACUAUUUAGAAUAUGACUGUAUGCAUUAAAUAAGUAUAAUGUUUAAUUAUCUGCCCCGGUGGCUUAUUAAAAGAAUAGAAAGACUUGAAACAAGAACUCUGUAGCUUUUGCAAGCUGAUUUUAGAUACACCCCUAUUAAACAAAUAAAUAAACUGCCUGAUUUCAAAACUACCAAGCCCCAAUACUGCUGUAAGAAAGUCAGUGCUCCAUCAGCUGAUCGUCUGCAAUAAGCAAAGCCUGAUUUCAGAAUUAUCAAGACCCAAUACUGCUGUAAGAAAGUAUGUGCUCCAUCAGCUGAUUUUCUGCAAUAAGCAAAGGUAGACUUCUGGAAGACCACACGAAGACUCUAUCCUGCACAGCAUCAUUUAUAUAUAAUUUAGCCACCCUGUACAUUUAUUUUAUAUAUCCUGUGGGCAUAUUAUAUUUUCUUGCCUUUAUAUCCUGUCUGUCAUGCUAAAGUGUAGUUUUGCUAGCCCUGUAUGAAAUAGUUUUAUUCACCUAUAAGCAUUCCUCUAUUUCCCCUCUGAUUUCUGACUGACCUCUGACCCCCUCCCUUUUUUUAUUGGUAUGUUUUUUUUUAAAUAACCAUCCCUUCAUCUCUGUGCCUAGAUACAUAUCCCCCUCCCUCAGCUUUAUUGCAAGCCAAUCUGACCCUCACAUAUCUUUAUUCAACAGCCUGAUUUCAAAACUAUCAAGCCCCAGUACUGCUGUAAGAAAGUCUGAUACCAGCCCUCCCCUCACCACCCCACCACAUGCUCAUUAUUACAUUUAUAGAUUGUCUGUCACACCCAAAUUUUAGAUAAGUAAAAAUAACAGGUGUACACACUGCCCCUUAUUAGUACACUCCUGCACUUUCUUAAGCCAUAAAACUUAAUAUUUACCCUGCCUUCACCUGCUCACGAUAUUCCAGUUAUUUCCAAUUUACUUUUUUCCCAGUUUAGACAUGAUCUGUCUUCUCCUCCUCUUUAUUUUCUCCUUCUCCCUUAGUAUAAAAAUCUCUCCUUACACCCACUUCACUCACCCCCCCAUCCAUAUUUACAUAUACCCUUCUCUCAUCUCAUGCCUUGCAUUCAGUUUUCUACUCUCUCACUCCUACCCACAAUAGAUAUCAUCCUAGACCCAAUGCAUACAAAACCCAUUUACACCUCCUGUCACUUUCUCUCCUCCUGCUUCUAGCAGCUGGUGAUGUCUCUCCCAAUCCAGGGCCCUUCACCUUCUCUACACACACUAAGAAAACUAGAAACCCCACAAACCUCAUCACAAUACCCACAAUGCAUUAUAAUACACACAAAAAAAAAAACGAAAAAAAAAAAAAAAUGGAUCGGCAAAGUUUCCAGUCUUUGUAGACUCUCUUUAACAAUGCUGCUAAUAUGGUAGCAACAAGUGAGUAGCCAGAUAUCUGCCAAUAGUGCUGUGACUGAAUCACAUAGCUCAAGAGCUCCUGCUUAAUGGGGGUAUAUAAUGUUAUGGUGCUUGGACUGCCUUUCAUUUAAGACAUGAAGUAUACAUUGUUAUGGACCUGGUGCAUUCCCAUUGUACCUACAUAUGUUUUGUAUGCGAUUUUUAUCUAAUGGAGGAAUUGUUUAUAAUGCACACAUUUCGUUAAUUCAAUAAUGCUGAUGCAUGUAUAUUUUUGUCUCACAGUUACAUUAAGACAUCAGGCAAUGCUACAGUUGAUCACUUGUCAAAAUAUUUAGCCGUUCGUUUGGCGCUUGAAGAAUUUCGCAGUAAAGGAGAGAACAACACAAUGAACCUCAACACCGCCAGUGAAAAACAGUACACCAUUUACAUUGCAACUGCCAGUGGACAGUUUACUGUAAGUAUCAGAAACAGGGCAUCCUACAGUCAUUUGAGUGUGCAUGAAACUUCAAGCACAGUUUCCUCUCCUUAAAUCCUCAGAAUUAGUUUUUUUUGGUGCUAAACUGAUGACUUACAGCUUGCUUCAAUUGCAACAUUUUUACCAAUGCUGGCAUUGGUGACUCCAAAAGCUAGUAAAAAGUACAGAAAAAGUAAAAAUGCACUCGGGUACAAAAGAUGUUAUAAAAAAAGUAAACAUCUUGGUUGUAGUAACCCUCUCUGUAGUGGUUUGCUCCCGCAAUGCCAAAACCAAUUCCUCUUUUUCCACUGCCAAGACCAAGUUCUCCCUCCGCUUAGUCUUCCUUUUAUGACCUCAUUCCUGCACUCCUCUAAUGCAGGAGGAGGAGUGAGGUCAGCGCGACUAGAGAAAGAGGAGAGCUGGGACAGGGGGGAAAAGCCAUGUUGUCAUUGACUGUCUGGCACCAGCAUGCCAAAACCCCUUCAGCAGAUAAGGGUUUAAUCUCUGUAUGUGCAGCAUUUGAUGGCACCGUUUCAGGCACCAUGACUACUUUAAAUCACUGAAGAGGUCAUGGUGCUUGGAAUAAACCUUUAAAGGACCACUAUCGGCACCCAGACCACUUCAGCUCAAUGAAGAGGUCUGGGUGCCAGGUCACUCUAGUUUUAACCCUGCAGCUGAAAAUAUAGCAGAUUCAGAGAAACUGCUAUGUUUCACUGAGGGUUAAUCCAGCCUCUAGUGGCUGUCUCACUGACAGCCGCUAGAGGAGCUUCUGCGAUUCUCACUGUGAAAAUCAGUGAGAAGACGCUGGACAUCCAUAGGAAGGCAUUGAGUAAUUUCCUAUGGGCAGUUUGAAUGCGCACGGCCCUUGCCGCGCAUGCAUAUUCUGAGCUGACGCCGGCAGGGGGAGGAGAGGUAAGUGUCUGAAGGGGUUUUAACCCCUUCAGCCCAGCGGGAGGAAGCCUAAUGACCCUAUAGUGCCAGGAAAACGAGUUUGUUUUCCUGGCCCUAUAGUGGUCCUUUAAUGGCAAUUGUAUCAGAGCUGCGUGUACCCUGGCGGGGUACCUCCGCCCAGGAUCGCUUCCUAGCUGGAACCGGGGAAAACCUCAGGGCUUUUGCCCCAGUCGCCGUGGCUUGACUGGGGUCCUCCUAGUCUCUCAGUCCUAAAACAGGAUAGGGGACUAGCUCUGUUCCCUCCUAGGGACUGGACAACAGUCUUGGGAGCUGUAGUCCUUAAUGGGACUUUCCCCGCCAAAUCCUCCACAAGCUGAAACAAGGUGCUGAGCAGUGAUUAGCCUUUUCCCCUCCCAGUAACUAGACUACACAUGGUUCUGGAAGAACAACUGAUUGCAAUGAGCCAAACUCUGCCUUUUAUGCACAGACCCCAGCAGGGGGUCUCCAUUGUAUUCAACACAAGCCCCUUUUAGUAAUCUCUAUAUUAUACAUCCCCAAAUAGCCAUGAUCUGAGCACCCACGUUCUCCAAAUAGCGCUCAGAUCCAUGCAGUGUAGGGGAAACGCCACAGUACUAAAGUCAACGUUCGGGAUCUCCGGCGGCUGCAUUACGGGGUGCUCUGCCUGGCUCUCAGGUAGCGUUUGCUCCCCUUAGUCUCAGGCUCCUUCCCUCCAAAAAGCACUUUCCUGGCAGAUUUCAAAGUGGUUCAAAACCCCGAACCAAGUUGUCCGGGAACCGCACGGUCACCUCGUGUUGAAAACCAUUCCAUAACAUUCACGGCUAAGAACCACUGAGGUGACCCGGGACCCACGAAGUCCUCAUGCCGAAAUUAGUUUCAUAGCAGUCAUGGCUAAGUACCGCUGAGGAUCAUUCAUGGGUUUGGUUCAUGCGAACGGCUGCCAGGGAGCUAGCAUUCGGUUCCAUUAGUGAGAAGGGACAGUGCCGAACCAGGGGCACCCAGGGAAGGCUGCUAAUGGCGCCUGGCCAGGGUAACUCCCAAAUGGUGUCUCAGACCUGGACCAUAGUGGGCAGGAAGCCGGCUUCCACACUCCUCCAGGAGUCCGUGGCAAACAUUCGUUGGAAGGAGUGUUUGACACACCAAUAUUUAUUGAUAAAAGGGCGUUUGCCUGAAAUAUUUUAAAGUAAAAAAAAAACAACAAAAAAAAAAACGGUUAACUCGAGUCAGUAACCAAGCAUGCAUGAGGGUUAAUGAGGCUCUUCUUUAUAGUCUGACACUGAGUUACUAAACAUGUUGAACAUAGUCGUGAAACAUGCUGUGCUAUUGCAUGGUCAGGGUCAGUCUAGUGCGUGUUGGUCAGUACAAUUAGCGUAGCGGUAGUGGUGAUAGGGGUAGGUACUGUGAGUGCUUGCAGUGAGUUAGUGUAGACCAGAGUGGCUGAGUGCCUGUGAGACAGAUUGAACCGCUGUGCAGUAGGAUGUGCGUAUAGUGUUAUGUCGAGUUGAUGAAAGCAAAGAUUUCCAAACGGUCAAUAAAAAUUAACUGAAUUGGCAAUGUUGCACAAACCGUCCAGGCAAGGGAUGAUACAGAACAGUGAGUGAAAUAAAGGCAUGGCAGUAACUGAGAUACACCGGUAGUGCUUUGCUGGAAGUUCACCCUAUCCCCAGUUUUGGCACCUGAUCUCCUUGGUUUGUGAAAGUCUUAAUGGCCCAGGGCUUGUCGUUCCGUCCAGCCCAUGCCCGAGUCGGGAUCCCAUACCCGUCGGUCCGGCCUCGUGCUGCUCCUCUACCGGUGUCCCGGUGUGAUGCAGUCCCAGCUUGAUCCUGAGGUUUCUUCCGGAUUCUCUGCCCUGGAUUGCAGCGCUGAGAUUUGGUCGCCUUGGGGACCCAGUAAGUGCCAUGGGGUCGGUUGUGUCGCCUCUGCUGAUGUAAGUUGGUAGUGCGGAGAUUACAAGCUUAGUGGGUCGAUGGGUAUGAGGAGAUGAGCCUUGUGAUGAGCUGCCGCCCUGUUCCCUCUCCUUGCGUUGCUUGUGCCAGCAUUGUCGCCUUGGCGCUUUUUAUAGGUCUGCUUCUUCAAGCUCAUUGUGCCUCUCAGAUGCGAACAGGAGGGCAGUGCUGCAGGGGUGUACCCGUCCGGGGUCUGUGUAAGUGCCUGCUUUCCUCUCAGCUCUAGCUGCCUCCAGCCUAGUGUGGAUGUUGAGCCCCUGGGCUAUGUCAUUAUGCUUGAUGGCGGUCUCUGCCAUUUUGUGGUCGGUAGGCUUCGCCUGGGGCUGCUGCGAUACAGCUCGGUCGGGCUCUCCUGGGACCGAGAACCCCCAUCGGUCCAUGGGGGGGUGGGGGGGAAACAAGGGCUCCUGUUCAGGAUUGUAGCCGUUGGGGGCAGCAGGGGAGCAGCCGCCUCCCCCGCACCGUCCAUGCUUGUAGGCCUUGGAUGUCGCAUUGGUGUUUCCUGCAGGGUAGGCUGCUUGUUCGGUGCCCAAAAGUGCCCCUUGUUAUCACCUCACAGUUUAUGACCCAUUUGGGGCUUUUAAGUACUUUUUGUGGUUAGUAGUCAGCAAUGUGUGCCUGGCAGAGCAGGAGCAGCACUAUCCUGCGUCCGAUCAGCUCAGCAGCCUGGCCCCGCCCCCCUGUUUUACCCAUUUUACGUUAAUUAAUAUAUACUAUGUGCAUGUAUGUGCCUCUUUUUCUCGUUUUGCUGUGGGGCAGCCAUUCUUGAUCCUUCAAAAGUAUAUAUACUUUGCAUCACUUUAAAUUGAAUUUCUUUAUUAACAUUUUUCCUUUCUCCUUUUCUUAUCACAGGUGUUAAACGGCUCAUUUUCCUUGGAAUUAGUCAGUGAGAAGUAUUGGAAGGUUAACAAACCGAUGGAACUGUACUAUGCACCUACAAAGGAGCACAAAUAGUGAUGGACUUUGUCAACUUUUUUUUUUUUUUUUUCUGUCAUAUAUAAUAUGUUAUACAUCUAAGAUAAUAUAUUAUAUAGUAGAGGAGUCAUACACUCACUUGGAAAUGUUGCACUUUUAAAACAAGUGAGACCCUCUGAUCUAGUUCAACUGUUUUUUAUUUCUUGUUUCUUUAUAAGUACCGGUAUAUUUCUAAAUAAGCUCUCUGUUUUGGUAUUAAGAUCCCUGCAGCCAACAGCCAUAGAAAUGGAAUUUCUAAAAGUUACGACGAGGCCUCUGUAUUGUGUUGCAGGAGAGGUUUCUUUCUUUUUUUAUUUUUUUUUUAUUGUAUUUUCUUUGUGUUUUUUUCUAAUUUUGGAAUACAAUUAUUUAUUGAUUACUUAGAUAGGUUGGUAAUUAUACAUAUGGCACUGAAGGUAAAUUAUUCUGUUGUAAGCACAGGUAAUGCUGUAUAUCAAGGACAUGUUUUUUAUUUAAUUGCAAGUUUUCCCAAGUACAAAAGAACUAUACAUUUGAUAUACACUAAUUUUAGUUAAAAGGUUGAGAAAUUAGUGUCUGUUGGUACAAGUGGGUACCGUGAUGUAUUACACAUAUCAGCAUAUGAAUGACAUGUGUUACUUUUUUAACAAUCCCAUAUCCUUGUUACAUAGAUCAACGUUUGCACAAGUAGGAUCCAGUUUUGUAAAGGAGAAAUUUUUCGUUUUUUUUUUUUUUUUUCUUAACCCCUUUAUGAACCUCAAAGUAAAGAAUGCAUUGUAAUGUGUUAAACAACUUAGGCACUCAAAUGUUAAUCCUAAAGUAUAAGGCUGGGGUUCUCUAAGCACGAUAACUGUUACAGCCUGCUGUAGUUGUUAUGGUGCCAGGAGUAGCCUGGUUGCCUCCCAGACAUUUGCAAACCGUUUGGUCACUUCUGAAGCUGGAUACUGCUAGUGUUGCAGUGUAUAGCAUCAGAGGAGGAAGCACCCAGUGCCUGGCAGACCUCAGGUAAGUUGUCAAAUGGUUAAAAUACUUACCCUGAGAGGGUACCAGACCACUCUUGGCUCUAUAAGCUCUGCCGCGGCUGUAGUGGUUAUAGUGCUCAUAGUGUUUGUUUGGUGUUAACACUCAGCUACAAUUGGGCUAUAUUUCCCAAGGUUUGCGGAAUUAUAGUAUAAAAAAAGAGGACCACCACGAUCAGUAGUACAUGGGCUAGGAUUAACCCUUUCAGUGCCAGAGGUUAGGUUUUGUUGUAAAUAAAGUAUUUUCAGUUUAUAAAACUAAAUUCAUUCUUAUAUGUUUAUCCUCUAUGUUCCUAUUUUUAUGUUGAGAACAAUAGGGUAUUUGCCAUAGGUGGAAUGCUUGUAACAAAACAUUAAAAGUAAUAUCCGGAAUCAUGUCUGGAGUCCGACUUGUAUGAACGUUUUCUAGUCUUGUA
rnacentral:lncRNA from 1 species